rnacentral:tRNA from 1 species
GGUAAAAUGGCUGAGCGACAAGCGGUGGAUUGUAGACCCAUAGACAGAGGUUCAAUUCCUCUUUUUAUCA